rnacentral:rRNA from 1 species
UACGUAGGGUGCAAGCGUUGUCCGGAAUUAUUGGGCGUAAAGAGCUCGUAGGCGGUGUGUCACGUCGGCCGUGAAAACCUGGGGCUUAACUCUGGGCGUGCGGUCGAUACGGGCAUCACUAGAGUUCGGCAGGGGAGACUGAAUUCCUGGUGUAGCGGUGAAAUGCGCAGAUAUCAGGAGGAACACCGGUGGCGAAGGCGGGUCUCUGGGCCGAUACUGACGCUGGAGGAGCGAAAGCAUGGGGAGCGAACAGG